AUGAAGGUCCUCAUUCUCACUGGGAUCUGGCUUCAAGUCCCUCUUCUGCAGCAACUUCCCUUCCUUGACGCUGCCCUUCCCUCGGAUUACGAUCUUGGCCCCCGUCUCCUUCUCCAUCCGCUUCUGUGUGUUGCCACGGGGCCCAAUAAUGAGCCCAAUAAAGUUGUACCCAGGGUACUCCUUCAUGGGGAUGUAGAGCUUCUUAUGGAGCUUGGGUGGGCGGUAAUCCGCCGGGGGCUUGAAGGCGGGAUUGCGGCGGAUCAGCUGGGAGAUGAUCUCCUGCCGCUCGCGGUUAAGGCGCUCCCUCGCCCGGUAUUCGCGGGUGUUGAUGCGGAUGCCCAGGUUAUCGUAUAUUGGCUCAGGGGACGGCGAUUGAGGUUGUGCACCUCGGGAUCCAUCUCGGCGGCGAAGUCCUUCAUGAAAUCCGGAAGCGCGAUGGUCGGGCGGGGCUCCUCCUCGGCCCAGCGCGACUUCCGCUUCCGUCCUCCCGCGCCGCCCUCGCCGCCUGAAUUGGCACCGGACUCGUCGUUGGACUGCUCCCAUCGGCUGCGGCGGCGGCGGCGGGAGGACGAGUCGCCGUCGCCAGCGGCGUUGGCUGAGCCGUUGUGGUGGGGCUCGGAGGAGGCGUCGCGCGAGGCGUCGCGCGAGGCAUCGCGGGGCGGGUCGGACGAGGGCUCGCGAGAUGGGGAGCGGGCUAGGGUUUCAGCAGAAGCCAUGGCUGCGGCGUCUGGUGGGAGGAGGAAAGCUGUGGGAAAUUUGCUUCUCACGAUUUCGGUUUUAUGA
rnacentral:rRNA from 1 species